ensembl:lncRNA
UAAAAUGUGUCAUGUGUACUUUUUCCCCUGGAGAGCUGGUUGUAAAACAUUUGCCAUCACACCCCUAUAGAGAGAGAUGAUAUGUGUAACAAAUUUUCAGAUGACAGAAUUAAAUGGAGUAGUUCAUAAAAAGUUUUUAAAAGCUUGAAUUCUGAACUGAAACUAAGAAAAUGAAAUUAAAUUGUCAUAAAGUCCUUUAUUAGCCAACUUUCUAAGUAUAAAGCAUUAGCUCAAUAAUGAUGCAUAUGAAAAAGAUACAGGGUGUUUAAGUGCAUUACAACCUCAAUAAUAGCUAAUAUUAGUGUGGUAUGGUAGCCAAGAAACUAAUGUAAUCCUUGACUGAAUGAAUGAAUGGAAAAGCAUUUUUAAGUAUUUACUAUAUUUUAAGCACUAUGCUAGGUGCUAGGGACACAAAUGGAAAAGUGGGGUUGCCCUUGUGCUUAAGGAACUCAUGUUCUAAAUCAGAAAGGGCACUAUAAGUAGAGAGGUAUAGGGUUCAAAAAUGGGAGGUGCUAGUUUGGACUUUGUCUUAGUCAGGCCUUAUCUGGACUGUGGAAUUUGGUUUGGAACACUACAGUUUAGGAAGGACAUUGAAAAACUGAAGCUUUUUAUUAGAAGAGAGCAACCAGGAUAGUGGAGGGUCUUGAAAUCAUGUGAAUGAGAAUAAUUUAAAGCUGAAGCAGUCCUCAUAUAAUUUUUAAAAAUGGAAAUGUUGAGUUUGGACAAGAGAAAGAAAUAAAAUUAAGACUUGAUUUAUUGUUUCACCAAUUUUCUGGACUUCAGAAAGUGGCAGAUAAAAUGUCAAUUGUGUUUCUUUUUCUCAAGGAAGCUGUUUGUUAUACACUUACCAGAACUGUAAGUCUUCAGAGGAAGACUGAAUGACCAAAUCUGGCAACAUUCAAAAGGAGAUUCUACAGGACAAAGGAGAAGGGAAAGAAAAAUCCCCUUCUUGUUAAAUCCUACUGCACUCUGCUCUGAAAAUAGAAGGAAGAGAAAUUAUAAAUCUAUAAAAAAGUCAAUCUGGGCUCAGUUCACUAAGCCAAACAUCAGCAGUCUCAGAGAAGUGGCAGUAGGCAACAAAAAUGACAGUCAAGCAUGUAACAUUGACAGAAUGAAGAACAAGAAAGCAUUCCAGAUGAAAAGUAGCAAGAAAAACUGACAGAAAGAAGACACAAAGAUUGCAAGCUGAAAUGGAUAUCUAAGAUUUUGAACUUCAUAAUUUGUAUUAAAGAAGAGGACAGACAGAAAACAAGAAUAGUAUGUAAGGCUGGUGCAGUGUGAGCAUAAUAAUACACAAUUAAUUUCACAUAUUAGGGGAAACAUGUAACACCACAUAGCUCAGAUGAAAGAAGGGAUUCAUCAGUGAACAUACGAAGUGGAAAUCCAAAGAACAGGAGUAAGUAAGUAAGUAAGUAAGUAAGUAAGUAAGUAAGUAAGUAAUUAAGUAAGUAAGUAAGUAAGUAAGUAAGUAAGUAAGUGACACAAGACAAAAAUCAUAAACUGAUCAUAUAUUGGGACCUCAUGUAGAUGAAUGAGAGUCAGGACUUGCAGCUAUGCAAAAUGUAUAUCUGCAUAUAUUAGUCAGUCCCAUAAAGUCUUAGACAAAUAGAAAGCUCAAAAGAUAUUUCUAUUUGAUUAACACCAGGAUUAGGGAACAAUGUAUAAUAUUGUAUCAUAUGUACAUAACCUCUGUGAAUAGUGUAAAUACUUAUAAAAUAGGUUGGCAACAUAGUUAUAGGGUCUAUAGAUAUGUAACAUAGCGUGUACAUGCAUUGCACAUAGAAUUAGUGUAUAAAUAGAGUAAGGACUUAGAGCAUAGCAUAUAAGUAGG